GCUGGGCAUGGUGGUAUGUGCCUGUAGUGCCAGCUACUCAGGAAGCUAAGGCAGGAGGAUCACUUGAGUCCAAGGGUUCUGGGUUGUAAUGUACUAUGUCUAUCAGGUGUUUGCACCAAGUUCUGCAUCAAUAUGGUGACCUCCCAAGAGUAGGGGACCACCAGGUUGCCUAUGAACCGACCCAGAAUGGAAAUGGAUCAGGUCAAAACUCCCAUGCUGAUCAGUAGUGGGACUGUACCUGUGAAUAGCCACUGCACUCCAGCCUGGGCAACACAGCGAGACCCUGUCUCU
ensembl:misc_RNA Metazoa_SRP Metazoan signal recognition particle RNA